rnacentral:lncRNA from 1 species
CGCCACUGGGGGACGCAAAGUGUGUCACACCAUGGCAGAGGGGAGCCCCGUCCAACACGGACCCUUACAGAAAGUGACUUGCCCCCAGAGGCAGUGGUAUAGACACCACCUGCCUCCCAGGUGGGGUGACCAGCUCAUCCUGCCUUGUCUGGGACUCUCCUGGUGUUAGCCCUGAAAGCCCCACAUCCCAGGAAAGCCCAGGCCUUGGCAGACCAGGAUGGUCGUCACCCACUUCUAGUCCCGGGUGACAGCUCAGCUCUCGAAGCAAACUGCCACCAACUGCCCCUACAGGGGGCAUCCAGGUGGGUGACCCAGACCCUUCCCCCCCAUCCAGCAGCACGUGGGGACCCGACCCAGAGCCGAGACUGCCCUCCUGACAGCCCUGGUCACGGUGACCCCUCCCAUCCCAUCCUCACAGAAGGGGGACCGAUGCUUCUCUCAGAAUCCAGUCAAAGCUGGCUUGCUGGGCAGAAAGGGACAGUCCCCCAGUCUCUGCCUAUUGCUGGGAUGUUGGCUAUCAUACCUCAGGUGGACAGGUCCCCCUUCUAGGCUCUGGGCUCCCUUACCCUCGUCAAAUCCUCUUCUUGCCAGAGAUCCCUGAGUUCACAGCAUGCCCUCCAGAAGGACCCAAGGAAUGGCCUCAUGGCCCCAACUGACUUCUGCAGCCAAGCGAGGAAAGCCAAAGAGACCAAACCAGCAGAGCCGUUGCCCUCACCUCGCGCAGUGUCAGAGCGGUGCUCUCACCCCAGCGUAUGAAGAUGCAGAUUCCAGUCUCAUCAAUGCAGAACCUGCUCCGUCCACCACUCCCGUGGACACAGUUGGCCAAUCACCCAUGAGAUCAAGUUCCCCCCCAAGCUCUGGGGGCUGUCUUCCAUCUCUUGAUGAGUGAGUGAGGACACUGCUGGGCAGAGGAAUGCAGGGCAGGCUCAGUGGCUGCCCCUCUGUCCAGGGUCCCUGCAUCCUUCAACACGAUCGUGGAUCAGGAAUUCCUUUCUAUGAUUUUAUGGAAAGACCUGAUGUCUCCUCGUUCCUGUGGGUGCCUGAGGGACUGUCAGUUAAAACCCUCACCCAUAGCUCAUCCAGAGACGGCUAUGUUUGCCUGUCCACUGGCUACCAG